AGCGAACGCUGGCGGCAGGCCUAACACAUGCAAGUCGAACGAACUCUUCGGAGUUAGUGGCGGACGGGUGAGUAACACGUGGGAACGUGCCUUUAGGUUCGGAAUAACUCAGGGAAACUUGUGCUAAUACCGAAUGUGCCCUUCGGGGGAAAGAUUUAUCGCCUUUAGAGCGGCCCGCGUCUGAUUAGCUAGUUGGUGAGGUAAAGGCUCACCACGGCGACGAUCAGUAGCUGGUCUGAGAGGAUGAUCAGCCACAUUGGGACUGAGACACGGCCCAAACUCCUACGGGAGGCAGCAGUGGGGAAUCUUGCGAAAUGGGCGAAAGCCUGACGCAGCCAUGCCGCGUGAAUGAUGAAGGUCUUAGGAUUGUAAAAUUCUUUCACCGGGGACGAUAAUGACGGUACCCGGAGAAGAAGCCCCGGCUAACUUCGUG
rnacentral:rRNA from 1 species